rnacentral:tRNA from 1 species
GGGCGUGUGGCUCAGUGGGAGAGCAUUCGGUUCGCAUCCGAAAGGUCGCGGGUUCGAAUCCCGCCACGUCCACCA